rnacentral:rRNA from 1 species
AGGAUAAACGCUGGCGGCGUGCCUAACACAUGCAAGUCGAACGUCCUACGCAAGUAGGGAGUGGCGGACGGGUGAGUAACACGUGGGCAAUCUACCUUUCGGUGAGGAAUACCGGCGAGAAAUCGCCGACAAUACCGCAUACGCUUCGCAAGAAGCAAAGUCGCAAGACGCCGGAGGAGGAGCCUGCGCCCGAUUAGCUGGUUGGUGAGGUAAGAGCUCACCAAGGCGACGAUCGGUAGCUGGUCUGAGAGGAUGAUCAGCCACACUGGGAUUGAGAACGGCCCAGACUCCUACGGGGGGCAGCAGUGAGGAAUUUUCCGCAAUGGGCGAAAGCCUGACGGAGCAACGCCGCGUGUGUGAUGAAGGCCUUCGGGUUGUAAAGCACUGUCGGAGGGGAAGAAUGAAUGACGGUACCUCCAAGAAACGCCCCGGCUAACUACGUGCCAGCAGCCGC